GAUGAAGAACGUAGCGAAAUGCGAUAAGUAAUGCGAAUUGCAGAAUUCCAGUGAGUCAUCGAAUCUUUGAACGCACAUUGCGCCCUUUGGUAUUCCGAAGGGCAUGCCUGUUCGAGCGUCAUUAUCACCCCUCAAGCCCUCGGCUUGGUGUUGGACGGUUUGGUGGAGGCCCCCUCGGGGGCUCCUGCCCCUCCCAAAGACAAUGACGGCGGCCUCGUUGGACCCCCGGUACACUGAGUUCUUCACGGGACACGUAUCGGACACAUGGGUUUACGGGACACGGUCUGCCUCCCCUCAGGGAGAAUCUUUCAAAGGUUGACCUCGGAUCAGGUAGGGAUACCCGCUGAACUUAAGCAUAUCAAUAAGCGGAGGA
rnacentral:misc_RNA from 1 species